rnacentral:rRNA from 1 species
UACGUAGGGGGCAAGCGUUAUCCGGAUUUACUGGGUGUAAAGGGAGCGUAGACGGCGAUACAAGUCUGAAGUGAAAGCCCGGGGCUCAACCCCGGGACUGCUUUGGAAACUGUGUUGCUGGAGUGCUGGAGAGGCAAGCGGAAUUCCUAGUGUAGCGGUGAAAUGCGUAGAUAUUAGGAAGAACACCAGUGGCGAAGGCGGCUUGCUGGACAGUAACUGACGUUGAGGCUCGAAAGCGUGGGGAGCAAACAGG